GUCCCUGUAGCGCAAUGGAUUGCCUGUUGAGCUUCUAAUGCAAAGGUCGUGGGAUCGCAUUCCACCUGAGAUG